rnacentral:piRNA from 1 species
UGACAUUUAUGUUCUUUGCCACGUUAGCUU